rnacentral:rRNA from 1 species
CCUACGGGGGACAGCAGUGAGGAAUAUUGGUCAAUGGACGAGAGUCUGAACCAGCCAAGUAGCGUGAAGGAUGACUGCCCUAUGGGUUGUAAACUUCUUUUAUACAGGAAUAAAACGAGGCACGUGUGCCUUUUUGCAUGUACUUUAUGAAUAAGGAUCGGCUAACUCCGUGCCAGCAGCCGCGGUAAUACGGAGGAUCCGAGCGUUGUCCGGAUUUAUUGGGUUUAAAGGGAGCGUAGAUGGGUUGUUAAGUCAGUUGGGAAAGUGUGCGGCUCAACCGUAAAAUUGCAAUUGAUACUGGCAGUCUUGAGUACAGAUGAGGUAGGCGGAAUUCGUGGUGUAGCGGUGAAAUGCUUAGAGAUCACGAAGAACCCCGAUUGCGAAGGCAGCUUACUAAACUGUGACUGACAUUGAUGCUCGAAAGUGUGGGUAUCAAACAGGAUUAGAUACCCCAGUAGUC